rnacentral:tRNA from 1 species
GCGCCGGUGGUGUAAUGGCGUAGAGCAUUCCCGACCGAUUAGUAGGACGUGCGGGUUCGAGUCCCGCUUGGCGCA